rnacentral:rRNA from 1 species
UAGGGAAUCUUCCACAAUGGACGCAAGUCUGAUGGAGCAACGCCGCGUGAGUGAAGAAGGUUUUCGGACCGUAAAGCUCUGUUGUUGGUGAAGAAGGAUAGAGGUAGUAACUGGCCUUUAUUUGACGGUAAUCAACCAGAAAGUCACGGCUAACUACGUGCCAGCAGCCGCGGUAAUACGUAGGUGGCAAGCGUUGUCCGGAUUUAUUGGGCGUAAAGCGAGCGCAGGCGGAAGAAUAAGUCUGAUGUGAAAGCCCUCGGCUUAACCGAGGAAUUGCAUCGGAAACUGUUUUCUUGAGUGCAGAAGAGGAGAGUAGAACUCCAGUGUGUAGCGGUGGAAUGCGUAGAUAUAUGGAAGAAUACCAGUGGCGAAGGCGGCUCUCUGGUCUGCAACAUGACGCGAUCGAG